rnacentral:lncRNA from 1 species
AGCCCGAUGCAUCCUUCUUUUGUUGGGCCUACGACGUGUCCGUUUAUGGCGCCAACUUCCUCGUGGCUCGCCACAUCUGCCAGGUCACUUGGGCCACUUGCUACUCCCUCGACGUUGGUUGUGGCAUCUCCGGCACAGGUCCGUUGGGGGUUCGCCCCCUUUGCUGUAACACCCCUGAUUAAUCCUACAUCGAAAGUAGGUAAGACUAAGAUUAGCAUACGAGGGUCUGAUGAGUGUAUUACUAUCAACUUCACCUUAAGCAUGUUGACUAGUGGUUUAAUUUAAACAAAGUCGAUAGACCAAUUAGCUUAUCAGGCUUGGGUCAUGAUAUUGGUAUCAUAAUCAACCUAGUAUUUGAGCAUGGUGAGAGGGCUCGAGUAAGAAAGGGCUACUCGUGGAUGAAGUUAGAGGACUCGUCAUGGCAUAGAGCCACCACUAGGCUAUGCCUCACAUGCACUAUGUUAGGGCUUGAUCGAUUAGUCUCACUACUGGCCUAAGUAUUUUGGCCAGUAGUUUGGGCCAAACGAAAUUGAUAGGCCAGUUAUCCUAUUAACCCCAGGUCGUGACAUUUGAUAUCAGAGUCGACCUAGUAUUUGGGCAUAGUGAGGGGGCUUCUCGAGUAGAAAAGGAUUGAUUACCUAUGGAUGGAGUCAGAGGACUCGUCACGACAUAGAGCCACUAUUGGGAUACGCCUCACAUACAUCAUGUUAUGGUUUGAUCUGGACUAUGCUAGGCCUUGACGAGGACAUCAAGCUCUUGAGUGGGGGAGAUUAUAAUACCUCCGAUUAAUCCCAUAUCGAAAGUGGGCAAGACUAAGAUUAUCUUAUAAGGGUCUGAUCAGUAUACUACUAUCAAUUUUCACUUGAGUUUUUUGACUAGU